CUCCGACCAGUUGCAUACAAGCGACCGAGUAACCAGUUGAAAAUGGAAGUUAAGGACUCUGAUCUAUAUUGACUUACAAAAAUUGCGCCUAAAAGACUUCAUCCUGAAAGACGAGGCCUUAAAAUUACUAGCGCAUGUUCUUGUUGAAGUCUGUUAAAAUGAGGAGAUAAUAAUGGCUGACAGAAGGAAACUCCUCUCAGCGUGAACAAACAACGGUGUCUGGGUCCCAAUACACAUCUCAAUACACAUCUCGCUGAGCUGCCCAGUUCGAUCUCUUUUGGAAGAAAAGUCUGAUUGCUAAUGAGAAUGGCCAGAGGGAAGCUUGGACUGAUCACUAAAAUCCCAAAUUUAAACUAAAGGGUCACAAGUGGCAUCCGCCAAGCCAACCAUACAUACAGGGAUCUGAGGGGAAAAAAUAGAUUGCCUUUGAAUUGCGAGGUUCGCUUUAUUCCACUUUUUACCGGCAAAGACCAUUGGACAAUACAAGAACAUUAUACACCUGGCUGAUUAUUUAUUGUUUCAUAACCUGAUAAACAUAAUCUGUAUCACUGGUUGUGCAACGUGAACUAAAGUUUAUUUGAUAUAUUUACUAUUCGUGCAGUCUGUGGUUUACCAUCUUUCGAAGGAAUAAUUGUGAAGGUCAUAAUGUUUGCGUUCUUUUCAAAAUAUGCUUUAAAUGCAAUGAAGAAUGUUUUGUGCAGCCUCUGGGCCCUACCUGUACGCAUGCUAUUCAUAUUGAUCCACUCAGCUAAUGUCUUUUGAAAUAAUUUCCCAGACUGGCGCCAGAUACCGAAUAGAACAUCUGUAGCAACGUUUCUCUUAAACCAACAUAAUUAAAAAGGGUGGCGUAAUUGCAAGUCGGGCUAAUUUAUAGAAUGCAUUUAGAAUAACUGCAGACUCCUUUAGAAUUGUUUAACAAACCUAGCUCGAUUUACAUUAUAUGUAUUCAUAAAUGUUAUGCAGGCAACAUAACCGGUGUGUGGAGAGUAUAGAUAACAUCGGAACUUCCCUUAUAGUCCACAUAAGCUGGUGAAAUCCAUAAUAAACCUGACGGAAAACAUACAGAACUAAUGACCUAAAGAAGUCUUAUUGAAAUGACAGUGUAUACAUCGAUGUACAGCCACCAAUAAACAUAUUACAUUAU